rnacentral:lncRNA from 1 species
GUAAUGUGAAAUUGAAUGUAAUUUCCUUCAAUUAUGAUUAUGAUUUGAUGAUUACAUGUUCUUUAGUUGAUUGUCAACUCUAAUUGUUAAACCUGUUGACUGUUGUUCUUUGCCCCUUUGGUGGUAACCAUAUUUACUGUCCUCUGUUAAUUGAUAAAUUCAUAAUUGCAUAACAUUUACUCUCUUUACAAAUAUUUUUUUGUUAAUCAUAGUUUUAAUCAUAGCCUAGUGAUGGUUUCACUUUCUAAUGAAAUUACUUAGUUAAGUCUUUGUGGUAAAUUCUUGGAGGAAUCUACUGAUUAAUUUUAUGUGAAAUAUAGUAUUAUUGAUGCAGGACUAAAUUUUUUACAUCUUAAACUGCUUCAAAUUGAAAUCCAAUGGAGUGGAAUGGAUGAUGACUCAAGUUUGUGAAUAUUUUUUUAGUAUUUAUAAGAGUGUCUCUGCAUCUUUGCUCUGCUUUUUAUAAAUGCUUUAAAGAUACAAAUGAUAUGCAGUAUAUUUGAUGGUUGUUUGAAAUUGUGAAUAUUUUUAUGUAAUGUUAGAUAAAUUGGAGCAAGAAGAUAGCUAUGCGGUUGUAGCUUAAUGUUGGAGAAGAGAAGAAGAGUUAUUCAUGAUAAAAUGAAACCUUAGAAAAGAACUUUGAGUUUGACAACUAGCUAGAGCAAGAGCCAUAGGAGAGAUCAUGGUUUAGUAUUCGGAGCUGUCUGUGCCUUACUGCCAGUUUAUUUUCUGCUGUUUUCAGUUUUUUACUGGUUUUUUGGUGCUGCUGGUGUAGCAGAUCAGCGCUGCUUGCAGCUGUUUUUCUGUCUUUGGUGGUUGCUUUUCAAUGAUGCUUGGCUAGUUCGGGAGUGAGGCAGGGGUAUGCUUGCUCUAUGCUAGUAUAUACUUCGGCCUCAUUGUUUGAUGCCAUUGUUGGUUUUGGGUUUUCUCGGUGAAUUGGUGUUACGUAUUUAGGCGGCACCUCUUUGUAUUUUUCCCCGUUUUUUCCGCAAGUUUUUUUAAUAGCAGCCACCCCAAACUUUUUUGUCUGGCUCUGCCAUUGGUUCUAACGGUUCGAUCUCUGCCUUCAACCAUUGAAGUAAGACUGUCCCCUUCGAAUUUCCACCUCUUCCUCUCAUCACAAAAGGUUUUGUUGGGGGAUUUUCUUCAAACCUCGCUAACAACUAUCAGUGCUAUUUUUGAGGUUUUGAGUUACAACGGAUGCACAUAACAUGUUUGAUAAAUUUCUCAAAUGAAAAUUCAGCAUGCAUUUCUUGUUGAACUCCGCUUUCAAACGCUAUUGGCUCCAAAAUACGAGUACCCACAAGUUCCAAUUACUUUCAGUGUCCCUCUUUUCCACAUUGCACCCAAUAUCUACACCACCCCUGUUGCAAGACCUCUGCGACAUUGUCACCAGCACUGUUGGUGGACUAGAUGAUCUAGAAUCAAGUCUAAAUAAGUUUAAGGGUUCUUUAACUUCACCACUUGUUGCUCAAGUUAUUGAUUCCGUUAAACAUGAGGCACACACUAGAAGAUUGCUCAGAUUCUUCUUAUGGUCGAAUAAGAAUUUGAGUAAUGAUUUGGAAGAUAAGGAUUAUAAUUAUGCUCUUAGAGUUUUUAACGAAAAGAAAGAUUACACGGCUAUGGAUAUCUUGCUUGGAGAUUUCAAGAAGCAGGGUAGAGUCAUGGAGGCUCAAACUUUUGGUGUUGUAGCGGAGACUUAUGUUAAACUCGGAAAAGAAGACGAAGCAUUGGGUAUUUUCAAGAAUUUGGAUAAGUAUAAAUGUCUUAUUGAUGAAUUCACGGUUACUGCUAUUAUUAAUGCUCUUUGCUCUAAAGGGCAUGCUAAGAGAGCUGAAGGUGUAGAUUGGCAUCACAAAGACAAGAUUAAAGGAGAGCUACCUUGUGUUUAUAGAAGUCUUCUUUAUGGUUGGUCUAUGGAGAGGAAUGUGAAGGAAUCUAGGAGAAUUAUUCAAGAGAUGAAGACAAAUGGGGUAACCCCAGAUAUAGUUUGCUAUAAUACAUUCCUUAGGUGCCUUUGUGAAAGAAAUCUCAGAAAUAAUCCUUCCGGACUUGUGCAGGAAGCUUUGAAUGUGAUGAUGGAGAUGAGGUCUUAUAAGGUUUUUCCAACUUCAAUCAGUUACAACAUUUUGCUUUCUUGUUUGGGGAAGACUAGAAGAGUUAAGGAAUCUUGUCAAAUACUUGAAGCAAUGAACAAAUCUGGUGUUGCUCCAGAUUGGGUUAGCUAUUAUCUGGUGACAAGGGUUUUGUUUAUGAGUGGUAGAUUUGGUAAAGGGAAAGAGAUAGUGGAUCAAAUGAUUGAAAAAGGUUUGGUACCAAACCAUAAGUUUUAUUACAGUUUGAUUGGUAUUCUCUGUGGGGUUGAAAGGGUAAAUCAUGCUCUUGAUUUGUUUGAGAAAAUGAAAGGAAGCUCAGUGGGAGGUUAUGGACCGGUUUAUGAUGUGCUCAUUCCAAAGCUUUGUAGAGGAGGGAAUUUUGAAAAGGGAAGAGAGCUUUGGGAUGAAGGCACAUAAAUGGGCAUCACUCUUCAAUGUUCAAAGGAUGUUUUGGAUCCUUCAAUAACAGAAGUAUAUAUACCUAAAAGACCAGAAAAAAUCAACGUUGUGGAUAGCCCAAAAGCCAAGUCUCAGCAGAAACUUUCAAAUUAUUUUGAGAGAAUGAAAAUGAGAAAAGCUGCAGCAUGGAAGAAGAAAACGAAAAAGAAAUCUGAAGCAUCUUAAUUUGUAAUUUAUGUAGUCUUUGUGAACAAACAAUUUAUAAUAAUACAUUAACUUUGUAUUACUGCAGGUUUGUGCUUAGCAACCAUAUGCUCUCUUUAUUGUUGAAUUUAAAACUUUGCAUGAAAAAACCUUUAUGAUCUACCAAUUAAACUGCAUCUUAUCCUUUGUCAAUUUAAGUUCAUAAUACUUAACUGUGCUUUUUAUACAUGUUAGCAAAUCAUAGUCAAUUUAAGUUCAUAUUUUACUGUGAUUUUAUACAUGUUAGUUAGUCAUACGGUCAUACCGUUUCCUUCAAUCCAACUUGAUCCCAAGGUAGAUCUUAGACAAACCAAUCCACCAGAUUGGUAUAGAUUGGGGGCCACUCUUUUAGGUUAGGGCUCGGGCUAGCGUGAGCGUACAACAUAGGUCUCUCACGGUGAAAACUGAAUUUUGUCCAUCAGAUAUAUGAUUAUAUUAUGUAGUGGUCAGGAUGUUUUACAGGAAACCUUUCUUCCACCGGGUGAAACAGUGUCUAUUUGUUUUUAAAAAUUCUGUCAACAGUAUCCGAAAUCAAUAAAUCUUACAGGGAAGGGAAGGGUUUACUGUUCUUCGAAGGAUCCUGUAGAUCGACCAAUUUGAAAGGGUUUCCCCACCACCGUUCACGUCCAAAUUUCAGGCUUCCGUUGUCGUUUUCGUGAAAUCCAUUUCUUCUCUUGUGGGUUCAUGGAGAUUUUUGUGUCAGGGUACAUCCUUACAGUCAUGGUGGACUGUUAUCGCUCCUUCCCGGUAAACUUUUUCUGUUUGUCAGGGUCGGCGCGUUUAGUGGCGGAUCAGUGAGCACGAGCUACAUUAUUUCUUGCUUGAGUUCCUUCCUCUGUUUAUUUAAUUUGUCGAGUAAAAGUUAUGUGUGGUUCCCAUUUUCUAUAUAAGCUCGCCUUGUGUGUGUGUUUGCUCCAUCGUCUCAUCCCUCUCCCUCUGCAGUUUAGGUUUCUGUUUGUGAGCUUAGUCUUGAAGAUGUAGAAAUCACUUGAUUCUUUGUUGUGUUGUGGGGUAUGGUUUUGAUUUUUUUUUUUAGUGUUUAUUGAUUAAUUUCUUUUAUCAACUUUUGUAGGAAAUCUGAUUUGUUUGUGUUUUCCCAUCUCGUAUUUAAGCUGAAACAGAUUGGGUAGGAAAGCUCAAAAAGGAAUUUGCAAUACUUCUUCAUGAUUGGCGACAAACACAAACAAGGAGGUAAAGUUCCAUCUUUGUCUCAUUCCCUUAAUCAAUUGCAGAAUAUGAUUUUGUUAUUUUAUUAGGUAUCAAAAUCCAUUUUUUCUCAUGUUUUGUGUUUAUUUUUCAUUGUUGCAUCCUCUUCAAAUCUUGCAUUUUUGUUUAUUUUCACAUCAGCUAUAUAUAGUUUAGUGAUUCACUUAUUGAUGUUUCUGUUAUGCAUAUUGAUUGUGUGUGCAUUUGAAAUCUAAUUUAAUCAUAUCUUUUAAUCUUGUGUUGCUCUUUUUCAGUUUCAUAUAUGCACACAAUGUGUUUGAUAAAAUGCAGAAGUGAAUCCUCAUCAACAUCACCUGGUUUGAUGUCGUUCCUUUUUUUUUAUUCAUGAACAUUUCAAUUAACUUGCUUAUUAGUUUUUGAUUUGUUUUGCCAUAAGCCCAAUCCAUAUCCUGCAUACAUAGAUUGGUAAAUUUCUAAAUUAUCUUUCUUUUUUCUUGUUCAUCGGAUUUAUUUGAAAAGAGAGGGAGAGAAAAACCUAAUUUCAACUAACAUGCAAGAGUUCAAAACAAUAUAAUUUAUCAUGAUUAAAUUGUGAUCAAGAGGACAAUAAGACAUUGGGAUGAUGGGUUUGUCUAAUGUAGCCUCUCAACUGAGAACUAAUGGAACUGUUUAUGCUCAACUGAGAACUAAUGGAACUCUUUAUGCUCAACAGCAACAACAUCAAAUGAUUCUGGGAAAAAUUAGGGAGCAUCUCUCAUAACAAGUUUCACUUUACUAUCAAUAGGUAUGAUCCAAUUUUGAUUAGUGUGCAAAUUAUGCUGUUUCCCAAUUAAAAUAUGUUUAUGCUUCUCAAGUUAAGAAAAAAGUCAGUUUAAAGGAAUUGAAAUUUCCAUUUGUACGAACAUAUAUAUAUGUGAGGCUAUUAUUAUUGUUAAGUGUUCAUAGAUGCUAUAACCCAAAAGCUUUAUAUGUUUUGAUCUUAUAUUUUUUUAAUUGUUUAUGUAGUCUAAGUUUUAAUAAUGUUCCAUUUCUAUCGAAGAUAUGGUGAUUCAAUGAGUUGACUGUUUAUCCUAUUUCUGUCAUGCUUCUUCAUUCUCCUUUAUAAUGAAAGGGAUGGGCAGAGGUUAGGCAAUUUUAGUAAUUUCAAGAGAAAAUGUUAAAUUAUAUCCUUUUGUAUGAUUUAAGGUGCUAUCAAUUCACUUUCAUUGUCUCGAUAGUACAUUCAACCCACAUACCCUGAUACUUUUUGUGCCAUUAUCAUACAAACCAAAACCAAAUACAUUUUUGUUUGUAUAGUCAGUUGUAGGAAAGACGAUGAAUCUCACCUAAGGUGAUUUGGGCUUGUGUGGUAAAUACCUGUAAAAGCCUUAAUAAAGAGAAUAGAUCGGACCGUGAAUAGUCUAAUAAUUAAAAAGGAGAUCAAGAAUAUAUAGGCUAAAAUAUUAAAAUUUAGAUCUUAAUGGUAUGUCAUUAAACAUGAUUUGUAAUAGGACACUGAUAUUGAAUGAUCCGUGUAAUUAGUAAACUUACACCAACAAUGACAUGGUUAAUGGUGAUAUGAUGUCACUUACAGAUAGCUGUUAAUGGUAAAAGCUUUAACAAUUCAGCUAGAGAUGCAUGGGAGUUAUUCCAAUCAACUGGGGUUGAGUCACUUGUGGCAUAUGUCCCUUCAGGUGCUGUUCUGCUAAUGGGCACCAUUUUUGGUGGAUUCAUAACUGGAACUUGUGCUGGUGUUUGGGUGUGGGUUAAAUGGAGUGAUAGGAUCACGGUAUGCCACCGUGAUUUUUGUAAAAUUUAUACUUUAGAGCUUCAACGAAAUCGGUGUCCAGUGAUUUUGUUAAAUUCUCCGUGAUUUCAAACAUGCAUUAAGUUAGUUAUUUGUCUUGUGUGAACGUGAAAUAUGUAACUUUGUUUUCAGGUUGGAUUGGCAAUGGUUGUGGUGGAGAGUGUUGUUACAUCGAUAUAUAUUUCCUAUGCAGAAGACCCUUUAUUGAUUCAGAGAUGGGAUGCUGAAUUUUUCAACCAGAUGUCUGAGACACUACAUCACCGACUUCAAUAUAGGAGUGCUCGAGCCAGGGACUAUCGAUUCCAUGAGGACCCUAUACGAGAAAACGCCUCUAUUUGAGGAUUCACAUGUGUUGUUUUCUUUUGUUCUACAACAGUUUAUUUAUCCAUUGUGUAGACGUAUCUAUAACAUAUUUUCAUAUAAAUUUGGUGUUAAAUGAAUAGGAAUAGGAGAAGGUUUCUGGUGGUGGUGUAAUCUCAGCAAUGUGGGAUUGGAUGAGUGAAAAGGUCACGGUUACCUCAUGGCUUGGUGUGUAGGGAUGGGUAUAUAAAACUUCAAAAUUGUACAGUUUCUUUUAUUUUUGACAAAAAAUAAAAGCACGGUUACAUUAAUAAGAUGAUUUAAAAUUCCAAUAUCACAAUUAGUAAAAUUUCUUUUUAAACUAAAUUGUGUAUUUCGAUGUAUUCAUUAUCGUUAAAUCACGUUUGACUAAGCGUGUUUAAAACCGAACUAAUAAAAUAGAAAAACCGCAAAUAUAACCAAUUUAAAUUGAAACCGCAAAAAAUGGCACUUGGUUCGGAUGUAUUCAGACAAUUUUUUUACUCAAUAGCAUGAUUUUGUUUGGUUUGCGGUUUUGAUUUUACCAAUCGAACCAAACCAAACAACAAUAUAAAAAAAAAAAAAAAUCUAAAUGGAAACUUUAAGAAAAUGACAUAUUUUUUUCUCUUGUUAAGUUUCCUUUUUUUUUUUUCCUUUAAAAAACAUAUUUUUGUGGUAAUUGAACUCUUAAAGAAUGAUAAAUUUUUUUAGUCUUUUGUAAUUUUUACAAAAUUUAAUUACUUUUUGUCCACGUUUAAAUCUAGUGUACGUAAUUGGGUACGUUGUUCGAUGAAAAUAAAAUCGUAAUGUUGGAUGAAAUUUAAAACAUUGCUGAAAAGUAUUAGGGUUUAUCGGAAGAUCUUUAAGAAGUUAACUAAGUACUAAAGAUGUCAGAUUAAAAGUAUUAGGGUUUACCCGAAGAUCUUUAAGAAGUUAGCUAAGUACUAAAGAUGUCGGAUUAAAAGUAUUAGGGUUUACCGGAAGAUCUUUAAGAAGUUAGCUAAGUACUAAAGAUGUCGGAUUAAAAGUAUUAGGGUUUANNNNNNNNNNNNNNNNNNNNNNNNNNNNNNNNNNNNNNNNNNNNNNNNNNNNNNNNNNNNNNNNNNNNNNNNNNNNNNNNNNNNNNNNNNNNNNNNNNNNNNNNNNNNNNNNNNNNNNNNNNNNNNNNNNNNNNNNNNNNNNNNNNNNNNNNNNNNNNNNNNNNNNNNNNNNNNNNNNNNNNNNNNNNNNNNNNNNNNNNNNNNNNNNNNNNNNNNNNNNNNNNNNNNNNNNNNNNNNNNNNNNNNNNNNNNNNNNNNNNNNNNNNNNNNNNNNNNNNNNNNNNNNNNNNNNNNNNNNCGGUGAGGGCUUCGGUCCUGAUGAAUGCUUUAACCAUUCAAAAGCGGUGAGGGCUUCGGUCCUGUCUGGUACCACAUACAUAUUUACAUAUUUGAGGAGUCUAAGGUGUUGUCUUAGCAGUGUUGUCAUGUCAUUUGCAUGAGUCUUAGUUGUUGGUUGUGGUUGUUACAUUGAUGAUGAUGAUGUUGUUGAUGAAUAUAUAUUUAUAUACAUAUUGUGGUGGAUGAAUUUUGAUGAUGUCUGUUGUUGCUUGAGAAUUAUAUGCUUAUAUUUGCAAGGUGAUGUGUUUGUUGUUUAGGGUGUUAGAUUCAAUUAAAGAUUUUACUAUCUAUAUUUAUUUGUUGUGAAUCUCACCCCUUCUGCUUGAAAAUGUUGUCCUUUCUAUGGGUAACUUGCAGGUGAUCCUGAGUAGUAGGUGGUGACUCAAGAGUCGUGUCUAGGGCUUUGAUACUUGGGAUGUGAAUUAUUAUUAGUAUUAUUGUCGUUGUUCCUUCCUAUGUAUCAAUUUUUGGAAUUUGAUGAUGUGGCCCUUGUUGAUUGAUUUAUUGUUGUUUAGGCUUUAUGCCAAGAUAUUAUUUUGGAGAAUUUAACCGUUGUUGUGGUUAUUUGAAAUGCAAACUUUCCGCUGCAUAAUUUUUGAAGUUACGAAUGAUGUUGAAUUAAAUAGUUUUACUUUAUAUUUAAGAAAAUUUGAAAUGUAGUGUAGCAUGUCCGUUUUGGUGAAAUACUCUGAUGAAUAUUUGUUAUUUAAAUGCUUUUGGAUAACGGGGUGUUACACCGGUCAUUUCACAUUUAUAUCUUGAUUCAAACCAUUAAUUUUACAUUUAACAAAAAAAAAAAAAAACCAUUAAUUUUACUAAAAACUAUAAAUAUGACGAAAGCACCCUCUUUCUCAUUGUAAUUCCUGGCGGAACUGGGGGUGGUAAGGAGAACCACCGCCACCCCAUCCUAAAAAAAAAAGGAUUGUUAUUUGAACAACUAUUUGGUUGACAACUUUUGGGACAACCAUAAUUUACAAAGAAAAAGUUGGUAUUUGCACGAAAACCAAAAUAAUAGAGAUAAAGUAAAAAAUAAUGUGAUUAUGAGAGAGAGAAAGUUGUCAUAAAAUGGAUGUUCAAAUAUCAUUUCUAAAAAAAAAAAAAAUUUUUAUAUACUAAAAUUACGAAAUUAUCCUUCAAUAGUACUAAUAUUUCCUAUUCAGUCUCAUGUCCUCUUCCCGUUUCUCUUUCAUCUGAGAACAAGUGAGAAACGCGAUCCUUUUCUUCUCCCAACCAAAGCAAAUCGAUCCACCACCGCCGGUGAGCCGCGAUCACUCUCCUCCUUCUCCAUCCAUCACCGCCUCCGCGAUUACUCUCCUCCUCCUUCAGUUUAGAAAGCUAUCUCCAUCUCUCUCCACAAACCCUAAUUGUUGUAACUUGUAAGGUAAUGUGAAAUUGAAUGUAAUUUCCUUCAAUUAUGAUUAUGAUUUGAUGAUUACAUGUUCUUUAGUUGAUUGUCAACUCUAAUUGUUAAACCUGUUGACUGUUGUUCUUUGCCCCUUUGGUGGUAACCAUAUUUACUGUCCUCUGUUAAUUGAUAAAUUCAUAAUUGCAUAACAUUUACUCUCUUUACAAAUAUUUUUUUGUUAAUCAUAGUUUUAAUCAUAGCCUAGUGAUGGUUUCACUUUCUAAUGAAAUUACUUAAUUAAGUCUUUGUGGUAAAUUCUUGGAGGAAUCUACUGAUUAAUUUUAUGUGAAAUAUAGUAUUAUUGAUGCAGGACUAAAUUUUUUACAUCUUAAACUGCUUCAAAUUGAAAUCCAAUGGAGUGGAAUGGAUGAUGACUCAAGUUUGUGAAUAUUUUUUUAGUAUUUAUAAGAGUGUCUCUGCAUCUUUGCUCUGCUUUUUAUAAAUGCUUUAAAGAUACAAAUGAUAUGCAGUUAAAAUGCAGUAUAUUUGAUGGUUGUUUGAAAUUGUGAAUAUUUUUAUGUAAUGUUAGAUAAAUUGGAGCAAGAAGAUAGCUAUGCGGUUGUAGCUUAAUGUUGGAGAAGAGAAGAAGAGUUAUUUAUGAUAAAAUGAAACCUUAGAAAAGAACUUUGAGUUUGACAACUAGCUAGAGCAAGAGCCAUAGGAGAGAUCAUGGUUUAGUAUUCGGAGCUGUCUGUGCCUUACUGCCAGUUUAUUUUCUGCUGUUUUCAGUUUUUUACUGGUUUUUUGGUGCUACUGGUGUAGCAGAUCAGCGCUGCUUGCAGCUGUUUUUCUGUCUUUGGUGGUUGCUUUUCAAUGAUGCUUGGNN